rnacentral:rRNA from 1 species
AGGUAUCAGAAGUGCGAAUGCUGACAUAAGUAACGAUAAAGCGGGUGAAAAGCCCGCUCGCCGGAAGACCAAGGGUUCCUGUCCAACGUUAAUCGGGGCAGGGUGAGUCGACCCCUAAGGCGAGGCCGAAAGGCGUAGUCGAUGGGAAACAGGUUAAUAUUCCUGUACUUGGUGUUACUGCGAAGGGGGGACGGAGAAGGCUAUGUUGGCCGGGCGACGGUUGUCCCGGUUUAAGCGUGUAGGCUGGUUUUCCAGGCAAAUCCGGAAAAUCAAGGCUGAGGCGUGAUGACGAGGCACUACGGUGCUGAAGCGACAAAUGCCCUGCUUCCAGGAAAAGCCUCUAAGCAUCAGGUAACAUUAAAUCGUACCCCAAACCGACACAGGUGGUCAGGUAGAGAAUACCAAGGCGCUUGAGAGAACUCGGGUGAAGGAACUAGGCAAAAUGGUGCCGUAACUUCGGGAGAAGGCACGCUGAUAUGUAGGUGAAGCGACUUGCUCGUGGAGCUGAAAUCAGUCGAAGAUACCAGCUGGCUGCAACUGUUUAUUAAAAACACAGCACUGUGCAAACACGAAAGUGGACGUAUACGGUGUGACGCCUGCCCGGUGCCGGAAGGUUAAUUGAUGGGGUUAGCGGUAACGCGAAGCUCUUGAUCGAAGCCCCGGUAAACGGCGGCCGUAACUAUAACGGUCCUAAGGUAGCGAAAUUCCUUGUCGGGUAAGUUCCGACCUGCACGAAUGGCGUAAUGAUGGCCAGGCUGUCUCCACCCGAGACUCAGUGAAAUUGAACUCGCUGUGAAGAUGCAGUGUACCCGCGGCAAGACGGAAAGACCCCGUGAACCUUUACUAUAGCUUGACACUGAACAUUGAGCCUUGAUGUGUAGGAUAGGUGGGAGGCUUUGAAGUGUGGACGCCAGUCUGCAUGGAGCCGACCUUGAAAUACCACCCUUUAAUGUUUGAUGUUCUAACGUGGGCCCCUUACCGGGGUUGCGGACAGUGUCUGGUGGGUAGUUUGACUGGGGCGGUCUCCUCCUAAAGAGUAACGGAGGAGCACGAAGGUUGGCUAAUCCUGGUCGGACAUCAGGAGGUUAGUGCAAUGGCAUAAGCCAGCUUGACUGCGAGCGUGACGGCGCGAGCAGGUGCGAAAGCAGGUCAUAGUGAUCCGGUGGUUCUGAAUGGAAGGGCCAUCGCUCAACGGAUAAAAGGUACUCCGGGGAUAACAGGCUGAUACCGCCCAAGAGUUCAUAUCGACGGCGGUGUUUGGCACCUCGAUGUCGGCUCAUCACAUCCUGGGGCUGAAGUAGGUCCCAAGGGUAUGGCUGUUCGCCAUUUAAAGUGGUACGCGAGCUGGGUUUAGAACGUCGUGAGACAGUUCGGUCCCUAUCUGCCGUGGGCGCUGGAGAACUGAGGGGGGCUGCUCCUAGUACGAGAGGACCGGAGUGGACGCAUCACUGGUGUUCGGGUUGUCAUGCCAAUGGCACUGCCCGGUAGCUAAAUGCGGAAGAGAUAAGUGCUGAAAGCAUCUAAGCACGAAACUUGCCCCGAGAUGAGUUCUCCCUGA